rnacentral:rRNA from 1 species
UACAGAGGUCCCAAGCGUUGUUCGGAUUCACUGGGCGUAAAGGGUGCGUAGGCGGUCGGGUAAGUCUGAUGUGAAAUCUCACAGCUUAACUGUGAAACUGCAUUGGAUACUAUCCGGCUCGAGGAAUGGAGGGGAGACUGGAAUACUUGGUGUAGCAGUGAAAUGCGUAGAGAUCGGAAAGAACACCAACGGCGAAAGCACUCUGCUGGGCCGACACUGACACUGAGAGACGAAAGCUAGGGGAGCGAAUGGG